CUGCAGCCCGAGUGGUGGUCGAUAUUAUUGAGCCUAAAGCGUCCGUAGCCGGACUAGUAAAUUCUUGGGUAAAUCGGGCAGCUUAACUGUCCGACUUCCGAGGAGACUGCUAGUCUUGGGACUGGGAGAGGUCAGAGGUACUCCAGGGGUAGGGGCUAAAUCCUGUAAUCCUUGGGGGACCACCAGUGGCGAAGGCGUCUGACUAGAACGGAUCCGACGGUAAGGGACGAAACCCUGGGGCGCAAACCGGAUUAGAUACCCGAGUAGUC
rnacentral:rRNA from 1 species